CCAAGUCAAAAUUAUAUUUACUUUAUUGAAAAACAUACAGGGACAUGGUUCAAGUGAAAAACACAGAUAGCUUCAAGGGUAAGUUGUAUAAAUAAAGUACUUCAACUCUAGAGCUUCCACUCUACCUUCUCCAGCAUAGCAGUGUUUAUCAGCAGAUCAUCUGAUAAUGGAAGUGGAUAGUAGUGAGUCUCAGUCAAUGAGGAGUCAACAAGUGAGGAAGUUCACAUGGAGGAUUGAGAAUUUCUCCUGUAUUCAAUGCAACAAGCUCUACUCUGACGUUUUCCAUGUUGGUCGCAACAAAUGGCGACUUCUUUUCUUCCCCAAGGGGAA